rnacentral:rRNA from 1 species
AGUCGAGCGCAAUACUAUCUUCGGAUAGUGGAGAGCGGCGGACGGGUGAGUAACGCGUGGGAACCUACCCUUUGGUUCGGAAUAACUUUGGGAAACCGAAGCUAAUACCGUAUACGCCCUUCGGGGGAAAGAUUUAUUGGAGUUAGAUGAGCCCGCGUUGGAUUAGCUAGUUGGUGGGGUAAUGGCCUACCAAGGCGACGAUCCAUAGCUGGUCUGAGAGGAUGAUCAGCCACACUGGGACUGAGACACGGCCCAGACUCCUACGGGAGGCAGCAGUGGGGAAUAUUGGACAAUGGGCGAAAGCCUGAUCCAGCCAUGCCGCGUGAGUGAUGAAGGCCCUAGGGUUGUAAAGCUCUUUCAACGGUGAAGAUAAUGACGGUAACCGUAGAAGAAGCCCCGGCUAACUUCGUGCCAGCAGCCGCGGUAAUACGAAGGGGGCUAGCGUUGUUCGGAUUUACUGGGCGUAAAGCGCACGUAGGCGGAUACUUAAGUCAGGGGUGAAAUCCCGGGGCUCAACCCCGGAACUGCCUUUGAUACUGGGUAUCUCGAGUUCGAGAGAGGUGAGUGGAAUUCCGAGUGUAGAGGUGAAAUUCGUAGAUAUUCGGAGGAACACCAGUGGCGAAGGCGGCUCACUGGCUCGAUACUGACGCUGAGGUGCGAAAGCGUGGGGAGCAAACAGGGUUAGAUACCCUGGUAGUCCACGCCGUAAACGAUGGAAGCCAGCUGUCGGCAAGUUUACUUGUCGGUGGCGCAGCUAACGCA